rnacentral:rRNA from 1 species
AGUCGAGGGGCAGCACGAGGUAGCAAUACUUUGGUGGCGACCGGCGCACGGGUGAGUAACGCGUAUGCAACCUACCCUGUACAGGGGGAUAGCCCGGAGAAAUUCGGAUUAAUACCCCAUAACGAUAUGAAGAGGCAUCUUUUUAUAUUUAAAGCUUCGGCGGUACGGGAUGGGCAUGCGUGACAUUAGCUAGUUGGUAAGGUAACGGCUUACCAAGGCUUCGAUGUCUAGGGGUCCUGAGAGGGUGAUCCCCCACACUGGUACUGAGACACGGACCAGACUCCUACGGGAGGCAGCAGUGAGGAAUAUUGGUCAAUGGGCGUAAGCCUGAACCAGCCAUCCCGCGUGAAGGAAGAAGGCGCUAUGCGUCGUAAACUUCUUUUCCAGAGGAAUAAAAUUUUGUACGAGUACGGAACUGAAGGUACUCUGGGAAUAAGCAUCGGCUAACUCCGUGCCAGCAGCCGCGGUAAUACGGAGGAUGCAAGCGUUAUCCGGAUUUAUUGGGUUUAAAGGGUGCGUAGGCGGAUUAAUAAGUCAGUGGUGAAAACCUUCAGCUUAACUGGAGAACUGCCAUUGAUACUGUUAGUCUUGAGUACGGUCAAGGUAGGCGGAAUGUGUAAUGUAGCGGUGAAAUGCUUAGAUAUUACACAGAACACCGAUUGCGAAGGCAGCUUACUGGGCCAUUACUGACGCUGAGGCACGAAAGCGUGGGGAGCGAACAGGAUUAGAUACCCUGGUAGUCCACGCCGUANACGAUGAUCACUCGCUGUUGNCGAUACACAGUCAGCGGCUAAGCAAAAGCAUUAAGUGAUCC